rnacentral:ncRNA from 2 species
CACAACCCAACGGGGAGCCUGCUCACAGGCUGAGAGGAGCGCGCGGCGCUCGACCCGCAAUACCUGAUCCAGAUCAUGCUGGCGGAGGGAACAUACUGCUUCACUCA